CUUAUCUCUGAAAAUCAAAGCGCCUUCAUCCCGGGAAGGCUGAUUUCUGACAACUCUAUUAUUGCGUUUGAAUGUCUUCAUCAUAUUCAGUCGGAAAGAAACAAUGCACCCGGCCUCUGUGCUUACAAGCUAGAUCUUUCCAAGGCCUAUGACAGGGUGGACUGGGUUUUUCUGGAGAAAGCUUUGGCUAAAUGGGGCUUCUCGCCCAAUUGGAUAGCUCAUGUUAUGGCUUGUGUUACGUCAGUAAAGUACUCGGUAAAAUUCAAUGGGAAGCUACUGGAGUCCUUCUCCCCCUCGAGGGGACUCCGCCAAGGUGAUCCACUCUCUCCAUUCCUC
rnacentral:rRNA from 1 species